rnacentral:rRNA from 1 species
CUGCGGCAUGCCUUACCAUGCAGUCGAACGGCAGCGCGGGCUUCGGCCUGGCGGCGAGUGGCGAACGGGUGAGUAAUAUAUCGGAACGUGCCCUGGAGUGGGGGAUAACUAGUCGAAAGAUUAGCUAAUACCGCAUACGAUCUACGGAUGAAAGUGGGGGAUCGCAAGACCUCAUGCUCGUGGAGCGGCCGAUAUCUGAUUAGCUAGUUGGUGGGGUAAGAGCCCACCAAGGCGACGAUCAGUAGCUGGUCUGAGAGGACGACCAGCCACACUGGGACUGAGACACGGCCCAGACUCCUACGGGAGGCAGCAGUGGGGAAUUUUGGACAAUGGGGGCAACCCUGAUCCAGCAAUGCCGCGUGUGUGAAGAAGGCCUUCGGGUUGUAAAGCACUUUUGUCCGGAAAGAAAUCCCUUGCCCUAAUACGGCGGGGGGAUGACGGUACCGGAAGAAUCAGCACCGGCUAACUACG